rnacentral:rRNA from 1 species
GAUGAACGCUGGCGGCGUGCCUAAUACAUGCAAGUCGAGCGAACGGACGAGAGGCUUGCUUCUCUGAUGUUAGCGGCGGACGGGUGAGUAACACGUGGAUAACCUACCUAUAAGACUGGGAUAACUUCGGGAAACCGGAGCUAAUACCGGAUGAUAUUUUGAACCGCAUGGUUCAAAAGUGAAAGACGGUCUUGCUGUCACUUAUAGAUGGAUCCGCGCUGCAUUAGCUAGUUGGUAAGGUAACGGCUUACCAAGGCAACGAUGCAUAGCCGACCUGAGAGGGUGAUCGGCCACACUGGAACUGAGACACGGCCCAGACUCCUACGGGAGGCAGCAGUAGGGAAUCUUCCGCAAUGGGCGAAAGCCUGACGGAGCAACGCCGCGUGAGUGAUGAAGGUCUUCGGAUCGUAAAACUCUGUUAUUAGGGAAGAACAUAUGUGUAAGUAACUGUGCACAUCUUGACGGUACCUAAUCAGAAAGCCACGGCUAACUACGUG